rnacentral:rRNA from 1 species
UACGGGGGGGGGCAAGCGUUGUUCGGAAUUACUGGGCGUAAAGGGCUCGUAGGCGGCCAACUAAGUCAGACGUGAAAUCCCUCGGCUUAACCGGGGAACUGCGUCUGAUACUGGAUGGCUUGAGUUUGGGAGAGGGAUGCGGAAUUCCAGGUGUAGCGGUGAAAUGCGUAGAUAUCGUAAGGAAGACCAGUGGCGAAGGCGGGUCUCUGGACAGGUCCUGACGCUGAGGCACGAAGGUCAGGGGAGCAAACGGG